rnacentral:rRNA from 1 species
CGCGUAGGCGGUUUGUUUAGUUAGGCGUGAAAUUCCUGGGCUUAACCUGGGGACUGCGCUUAAUACAGGCAGACUUGAGUUCGGAAGAAGGUCGUGGAAUUCCCAGUGUAGAGGUGAAAUUCGUAGAUAUUGGGAAGAACACCGGUGGCGAAGGCGGCGACCUGGUCCGAUACUGACGCUGAGGCGCGAAAGCGUGGGGAGCAAACA